CACGUGGGUAACCUGCCCAUCAGAAGGGGAUAACACUUGGAAACAGGUGCUAAUACCGUAUAACAAUCAAAACCGCAUGGUUUUGAUUUGAAAGGCGCUUUCGGGUGUCGCUGAUGGAUGGACCCGCGGUGCAUUAGCUAGUUGGUGAGGUAACGGCUCACCAAGGCCACGAUGCAUAGCCGACCUGAGAGGGUGAUCGGCCACAUUGGGACUGAGACACGGCCCAAACUCCUACGGGAGGCAGCAGUAGGGAAUCUUCGGCAAUGGACGAAAGUCUGACCGAGCAACGCCGCGUGAGUGAAGAAGGUUUUCGGAUCGUAAAACUCUGUUGUUAGAGAAGAACAAGGAUGAGAGUAACUGUUCAUCCCUUGACGGUAUCUAACCAGAAAGCCACGGCUAACUACGUGCCAGCAGCCGCGGUAAUACGUAGGUGGCAAGCGUUGUCCGGAUUUAUUGGGCGUAAAGCGAGCGCAGGCGGUUUCUUAAGUCUGAUGUGAAAGCCCCCGGCUCAACCGGGGAGGGUCAUUGGAAACUGGGAGACUUGAGUGCAGAAGAGGAGAGUGGAAUUCCAUGUGUAGCGGUGAAAUGCGUAGAUAUAUGGAGGAACACCAGUGGCGAAGGCGGCUCUCUGGUCUGUAACUGACGCUGAGGCUCGAAAGCGUGGGGAGCAAACAGGAUUAGAUACCCUGGUAGUCCACGCCGUAAACGAUGAGUGCUAAGUGUUGGAGGGUUUCCGCCCUUCAGUGCUGCAGCUAACGCAUUAAGCACUCCGCCUGGGGAGUACGACCGCAAGGUUGAAACUCAAAGGAAUUGACGGGGGCCCGCACAAGCGGUGGAGCAUGUGGUUUAAUUCGAAGCAACGCGAAGAACCUUACCAGGUCUUGACAUCCUUUGACCACUCUAGAGAUAGAGCUUCCCCUUCGGGGGCAAAGUGACAGGUGGUGCAUGGUUGUCGUCAGCUCGUGUCGUGAGAUGUUGGGUUAAGUCCCGCAACGAGCGCAACCCUUAUUGUUAGUUGCCAUCAUUCAGUUGGGCACUCUAGCAAGACUGCCGGUGACAAACCGGAGGAAGGUGGGGAUGACGUCAAAUCAUCAUGCCCCUUAUGACCUGGGCUACACACGUGCUACAAUGGGAAGUACAACGAGUUGCGAAGUCGCGAGGCUAAGCUAAUCUCUUAAAGCUUCUCUCAGUUCGGAUUGCAGGCUGCAACUCGCCUGCA
rnacentral:rRNA from 1 species